ACAGAGCCCGACGUGGGGCUCGAGCCCACGAGCCGUGAGCUCAUGACCUGAGCUGAAGUCGGCUGCUUAACUGACUGAGCCCCCCCCAGGUGUCCCUGCACAGAUUCUGUUUCACCAGAGACCCUCACCCACUCUGUGGCCCCACGUCUCAGGGAAAACAGAUGGAGAUGGAGGUGAUGUUGUUUUCUUACGUGGAAAGCACAGGAAGCAGCAUCGGGGCGCUGGCCGCUGCCCUGCUGCCCCGCCCCCGCCCCCUAGGGAGCUUGGCCCCUGCGGUUAAGGCCCGGCCAGGGGUCGGGGCGCUGGGGCUCGGCCGCCGUCAACCCACCCGGCCCGUCGCUUUUCCCGUCUUGGCUCUCGGCGGGACCCUGCAGUGCAGGUGGCUUGGCCAGGUCGCUGACAGUUAACCAGAGGCAUGGGUUUCCCUCGCUUCAACGGAUUAUGGAUUUGUACCGAGGAGUUGAAGUUCAGCACACAUUUCCUCUCAAUAGCGCCCCCCACGGGUGCGACACUGAAGGCGUGUCUGCAGCAACAGAGCUCGAACCGCGUCUCGCCUGCAGACGAGGGGUCUCAGGAUGAUCUCAAGAAAUUCAUGGUCGUUUACAAAGCUUUGCCCAGGGAUGAGAGCAAACCAGCUUCCAAACAAAACGCCAAAAAGCAAAUACCGUGAAGCUUUCCAUAACGACGCUUCGCAAUGGCAUACGGCGUAUUUUUGUCCCAGGUGCUGCGACCAAAACACAGCCGUGUGGCUGAGGCUGCAGCCUGGUCCCACGGCCAGGAGGGAGGGCCCGGGCCACCGUGCCGGGGACAGAGAUGUUCUUUCACACGGCCGUCUCAGAGGGGUGCAAAGCCCGGAGACACGUGAUUUUGAAACUGCAGGGCACUUUUGUGUGCACCCCAGACGGCCUGAGCUCCCUGCCGGCCACCAGGAAAGAGGAAGCGGAACCCGGUGAUGCGGAAGUGUAAGGGCCGAGGACCUGGGGCCGGAUUCUCUUGUCCAGCGUGGCCUGAUUUUUGCUCUGGGAACAAGCACGUCAUGACCGCAGUGGUGAUGGAGGCUUGCCUCCCCUGGAACACAGGGUGCACGGCAGGACCCCGUUCCUAAGCAGCUGAGAGACGAGUGGGGCUCCCCUCGAUGCACGGAAGACGGGGUAGUGUGCAGGCUUGGGGAGGAGGGAAGCACUCGGCCUUCCCGCCGCACACGGGAGCUCUGCCCAGAUGGGAGCAACCAGGAAUCCAGCUCCCACGAGCCCCACGCCUGGGGGAAAGGGUGGGGCUUCUUUAUACACGGCGGGUGUAUUUGGAAGGACCUGGAAGAGGCCCACGGUUUCCACCUAGGGAGUGCUCACAGACCCUGAACGCCUUUGUCCUGGAACUGGACUCGGUCACACCCCCACUGGUGGGGGAGGAAAGCCCGAGGCAGACCCAGGGUCCCUCGCAAUGGUCCCACCUGCCGCCCCAGACGUCCCUGCACCACCAGCCGACAAGAUGGAUGCUCUGGAUGACAUGGGGGUGCAGAGGAAGAAAGAGGAAAUGAUGCGGAAAAGAGUCACAACAGAAUCCAAAAUGCACACCAAUGGCCCUGCUCAGUUGCUAGGAACGGGGUGGGCUCUGAGCUUCCUAGCAGUCAGAGCAAAGAGGAAAACUAGCUUCUGCCCAUUUCCCCAGAGCCUCCAGGAUGAUCCUCGGGGGCCUUGGGGUCUUGGCUCAUUGUGCUUAGGUCUGGGGUUUAAAAGAAGGAACAGGGUGGGGCGCCCGGGUGGCUCAGUCGGCUGAGCGUCUGACUUCGCCUCAGGUCGUGAUCUCACGGUUCGUG